rnacentral:lncRNA from 1 species
CAAAAAUAUUGUACCACAUCAAUUGAAAUUCAUUGAGGCUCAUUAGACAUUUAAUGACCUUAGAAAUUAGAAUUCAUUGAGGCGUUUUAUUAAUAAAAUGUUGUUGUUCCAUCAGAAUUAUAGACAAAUCAAAAACAUCUUAUUUUCAUAAUAAAAUUUCAAAUGUAUCAAGAUUAAUGGAUAUCAAGAUUUUUAAUCUCCAAUAACUAGUUUAUAUUUAUAAAUAUUUUAAUUUAAUAUGGACUAGUUUUAUAAAACAACAUACCUAGUUUCUUGUCUGUUUCGACAAAUUUUGUGGAGAGGAAUAUUGAUCUAUUUUGCCUAGUGACCAAUAUUUGUGCAUACGUAUGCGUUAAAUCCUUCAUUAUUACCUUUUUUUACUAAUCCACUAAAAAAAAAUAAUCUUAUAAAGUUUAAAAAAUCUUAAUCAAUAAAAAAUACUGCCUUUUGAGAUAUUAAUUCCUCCGUCCAUGAUCAAUACAAAGAAGAGUUGGAUUUCUGGUUGGUCAUAGAAUAUGCAUAAUCAAUUUUGAUUCUUAAUUAGAGUCAACCUUAUAAGGUUUUACACAAUUCUAAUCACAACUAUGCAACUAUGUUAUUAUGGUUUAUUUGCACAUACUAUAAGUAGAUAUUUCAAGAUUCAUCCUUAAGAGGGUAACUAGCUUGCAUAGCGAUACCACAUGUUCCUCUAUUGUCAUUUGACCCCCUCUUAAUUUUGAUAUAACCACCUUCACCCCAUUUAGUACCCCAUGAAUUCUUUACUAGCCAAUAUUUCUCACCAUUUUCUUCCACAUCAUAGCCAAUUAAUGUCACUCCAUGAUUUAGCCUAUGUCCACAAUAGCCAGUGUAAACCCCUGCAGAGUAGAAUUGAAAACCAUAGCCACUUGCAUCAAUAGCCACCGAUAUUGGCUGUUUGUUGAUUGCAACUUGAAGUGAUUCCUCAUUUGGUGCUAUUUUUUCAUAGCCACUUAUUGUAACUGCAUGUUGUUUUAACUUUCUAGUGUUGCAACUUUGCUCUUUUCCAAUGUAUGGAUAGUUUUCUUGAGUUGUAAUUCCACCAUUUUCUAUGAUGAAAGCAAAAGCAUUGUUCAUGAAUCCUCCACCACAUCCUUGGUUGUCUGAGUAAACAUCACAAUCAACAAGUGCUUGUUCUGAUAGUGACACUAGUUCACCUGUUUUGAUCUGGUUGAUGCCCUCUAUUGCUGCUACUGCUGCGAACGCCCAACAACUUCCUGCAUGUUGUCAUAAUAAUUAAUCAAGAGCCGGCUCGUUGAUUGAAAGUAGUUGAUAUACAUGACUAUGUUAAGUAUCCCACAUCGAAAAAGAGGUGGACUAUUAGCCUCCUUAUAUGUACUUGGACAAUAGGCCCAAGAUUCAUUCUUUAUGGACUACUGAAUCUAAUUUUACAAAUAAGUAGUAGUAUAUGGAAGUUCUAAAACUAAUAACAAUUGGUAGUUGGUAUUGAAUGGUGAAGCUGGAAAUCUUUAGAAUUUUGAUUUUGCCCGUGUGCUACACGAUUUUCCAACAAAGGAAAUUCAACUGAACAUCCUUCCUUGGUUGAGUCGUCGCCACUGUAUUUAAUUUUUACAAUGAUAUGGCAUAAAUGAAAUCGAGAGGAAUUUGAGGUGUUUUGCUUUUGCAAAAAAUUACUUAGAGGACUACAAAAAGUAUUAAAGAUAUAUAUACUAAUAGUUAAAAAAUUUUGUCAAAUCAAAAGUGCUUAAUUAUCUGAGAAGUAAUAUAAGUUGGGGUCGGACUAAUACUAUCAAAGCAAAAGUACUAAUUAUAUGUCCUUUAGCUGAUUUCAACUUAUAAGUCCUUUUGAUGUUCACCCAACUCAGCCAGAAAGUACUAAUUAUAAUCAGGGGAGCGGAUGUUAUUUAUGCUUAUAAACUUAUCCAAACACGCAGGGGCGGCUCAAGCAUUUCGGUGGCCUAAGACAAAAAUUGAACGAGGCUUUAAAUUGUUUUUAAAAAAUAAAUAUUUAUUUUCUUAGAAAGUCUAUAUUUUAGAUAUUUUGAGAUGCAAAGUUGUUAAUAUUUUUUUUAUAGUCGAUUUUUUCUAAUAUUUUUUUCCGUUAAUAUAACUAAUGCAUUUAUUCUUUCUUGAUACAUCAAACUUCUAAUAAUUCUUUACUUUUAUAUAAGAAGUUUAUUUUUUCUACGAAUAGUACUUAGUAGUUUUUGUUAUAAAAAACCUAUAAUCUGUUAUAGUGAAAAAAUGAGGCCCCUCAAAUUUAGGGGCCUAACACGAUUGCCUAUUUUUUCACUAUGUAGAGCCGACCCUGCAAACACGCUGUCCUAAUAUGAUUUUUGUAUUGGUACGUACCACAAUCUUUUUGAUUCUUGACUGGUGUAACAGCUCCAUUCUUUCUCCAAUCAACACUGACAGGCAAUUUGGAUUUAUAAUAUGUAACAUUAUAAUCAAUGUCUGCAACAUCUUGUUGCCUAGGUUGCUUGUAACCUAAAUAAGUAGAUGUAAAUUCUUGGUUUGUCAUGUCUGCAAAAGCAUUGUCAGUAACAGUGUAAGAAUGGUUGACUGAAUUGAAGGAAUCAAUGAAUUGAACGUUUGAUUGAUAAAUCCCAAAACGCAUAUUCCAUUCAUCUUUGUUGUGGUAGUUUCUUCUGUGUUUGUGGAGCCAAUUUUUGUACCUUUUGAGCAUUGGAUCAAUUGAGUUAUCUUGACUUGCAUUUGUGAGACAACAUAGGGUUAAAAAAAUUACUAGGAGAAAGUUCCAAAAAGUAAUAUAAGAAGGUUUCAUAAUUGCUAUAGAUUGGGUUUUGUUUCUG